GCUUUGUGCGAUGGGGCAAUAAAAUCCGCACAUAUAUCGACACAUUUCUCUGGGUGCCCUUUGGGGUGGAGAAUGCGGAUAUAUGGAGGCCUAACC
rnacentral:sRNA from 1 species